GGCGAUAGAUCAUUCAAGUUUCUGACCUAUCAGCUUUCGACGGUAGUGUAUUGGACUACCGUGGCAGUGACGGGUAACGGGGAAUUAGGGUUCGAUUCCGGAGAGGGAGCCUGAGAAACGGCUACCACAUCUAAGGAAGGCAGCAGGCGCGCAAAUUACCCAAUCCUGACUCAGGGAGGUAGUGACAAGAAAUAACAACACUGGAAAUUUUAUUUCUAGUGAUUGGAAUGAUGGGAAUCUAAACCCCUUUCAGAGUAACAAUUGGAGGGCAAGUCUGGUGCCAGCAGCCGCGGUAAUUCCAGCUCCAAUAGCGUAUAUUAAAGUUGUUGCAGUUAAAAAGCUCGUAGUUGGAUAUCUGCUGGAAGCAAUCAGUCCGCCCUAUUUAGGGUGUGCACUUGAUGAAUUCUGGCAUCUAUUAUUCCUAAUAUUAUACUGAUGACUUUCAGUAGUCAUCAUUGGUGUUAGGAAUAAUACAGUUACUUUGAGAAAAUUAGAGUGUUUGAAGCAGGCUUAUUGCCUUGAAUACUGCAGCAUGGAAUAACAAUAUAGGAUUUCGGUUCUAUUUUGUUGGUUUCUAGGACUGAAAUAAUGGUUAAUAGGGACAGUUGGGGGCAUUCGUAUUUAACUGUCAGAGGUGAAAUUCUUAGAUUUGUUAAAGACGAACUACUGCGAAAGCAUUUGCCAAGGAUGUUUUCAUUAAUCAAGAACGAAAGUUAGGGGCUCGAAGACGAUCAGAUACCGUCGUAGUCUUAACCAUAAACUAUGCCGACUAGAGAUAG
rnacentral:rRNA from 1 species